GUUAAUUGGAUUUUGUUGCAGCUUCUACCUUUAAAUGUUCCUUUUGAUCAAUUUUUAUGGGAAAAUCACACACACACAUAUAUAUAUAAAAGCAGGCCAAAUCUUAGUCAUUUCUUAUACAGUUUUGGUUGGUGAUUCGGACUGUAUAUCCACAAUACAUGUUGCUACCGCUUCUCUUGCUUUAUGGCCUUGCAGGAUAUGAGGUCUCCAAUUUUUGUUACAUUUUUUUUACUUCUUUUAACCGUUUAAAAUGGACAAUAAUUUCUUAUAUAUCUAUAUAUUCUUCUUUUAUUGGGUUCCUGUUUUUUUACUUCAGCAUCUUCUUGAUGCAUUAUUAAGGAAACAACUUAACUCAUAAAUCAUGUACUUAUACUUUCAUCUUUUUCUCUUUAUAAUGUUUAUUCUCAUACUUUAUAGUCAACUAGGUAAUUUCAGUCAAGAAAUGAUCAACAUAUCUUUAAGGUAGUCAUGACAUUGGGCGUGCCAUAUCAAAUGAUGAAAAUCCACUUCUAUAUAUCUUCGCCCAUUACUAAUAAGCCCUUGAUUAAAUAAUUAGCCUAGACCGUGUGCUUGCCUCUCUUGUCUCUUCUAACACUAAUUCUCUGCAUAAUGCAAAUUGAAGGCGUACAACAUCCAAAGUAGUGGCCUUUAUUAUUUGGAGGGUGCAACCAUUUCAGGUGAUAUUUUGAAUCUUUCCAAUGAGGACGUGCCCUCAUAAGUUAGGAAUUAUCAUUGUUUUCUUCUCCAAUGCGACUUUGGUUGGUUUCAUCGCUGUUGCAAAGGUCAUUAUUAUAGUGCAACAACUAAAAGAGUUGCUAGGGGUAGCCCACUUCACAAGCUAGAUGCAAAUAGUUCAUGUAUUUUCUUCUUUUUCCUAGCUUUUCAGCACAAAAGAUAAAGAAGCUACCAUGUCAAUCUUGAACGAUAAUUAUAUUUUUGCUUUUACGAUUUGAAUGUAAUAAAUCUGAGAAUUGGCGUCAUGGAGAGUUGUAGAGUUAUACA